GGCCCUUAUGUGCCCCCACAGCCUUGUUAGGAACAGGAGGAGAACCUCGUCCUAAUAUGAGUAAAGACGAAGGCCCGAUUUCUUAAAGAUCGGAUGGGGGGAGAGGCCCUUGCAACGGCCCUUAUGUGCCCCCACAGUCUUGUUAGGAACAGGAGGAGAACCUUGUCCUAACAUGAGCAAAGACGAAGGCUCGAUUUCUUAAAGAUCAGAUGGGGGGAGAGGCCCUUGCAACAGCCCUUAUGUACCCCCACAGCUUUGUUAGGAAUAGGAGGAGAACCUCAUCCUAACAUGAGCAAAGAUGAAGGCCCGGUCUCUUAAAGAUCGGAUGGAGGGAGAGGCCCUUGCAACGGCCCUUAUGUGCCCCCACAGCCUUGUUAGGAACAGGAGGAGAACCUCAUCCUAACAUGAGCAAAGUCGAAGGCCCAGUUACUUAAAGAUCGGAUGG
rnacentral:lncRNA from 1 species